GUUGGAUUUGCGAUUCCCUGAAGGUGGCGCGGUAGACAACAGUGCGUGGUGGUGUAUAAGGAAUCUGGAUGACCCGGCAUUAAAAGCCUGAUUGCGUCAGCUCUGGAGGACUCGGAGAGCUGGGAGCUCCAUGCUCAUCACAGGAAGAUGGAGGAUUCCAGGAAGAAACACAAUUCAUGGCAUCCUGGAGAAAUGGCUCCACGCGCCUCUGUGAAAUGAAUCCGUAACCUCCUGCUCUUCUCAAUCACGCCAUGAAAUUGAGAGGCGACCCAGGAUGCACCCUGUCUGUGAACAGGAUCCCUUCAACUGACUUCAUCAGCUCCUGUAGUGUCAACUCAGCCUUUGAUAUCAACUAAGGAAUAAGAACACAGAACCUUCCAGAGUCCUUUGCAAGGUCCAGUGAGGGGCUUCCAAUCCCUGGCUGGCCACCCAGAUAAAGGAAGUGACACUCACAGACUGGGGCGGCGAGAAGGAGAUAAGAAACCAUCAAGUGAAAGCGUUUAAGGACUGUGGUAGAUCUGCUGUAAGCACCCGAGCCUGUUCUGGUCGGUUCGUUCAAUCAACAGUCCGUAUCUCUUUCUUUAUCGCAGCAGACAAGCCGGACGAAAGCAGACCGAGGGAAAGAAAGAAUCAGUCUGCGUUCACUCGAGUCCAUCGCUCACCCAUGCUGAGCAAGUGUUGCAGGGUUUAGAGGGGCGGGGGUGAAGAGAUGGCUGGCCGAGUGAAGAGAGUGUCAUCCAGGCAGAUGAGUCCCAGCGCUCUUCUUCUUUCUUCUGCGUCUCCGUCCUCUUCUUCCACCUGCGGCUGACCCAUCCCUUAGAGACGCCACAGAGUCCAGAGAUGAAAGAAAAAAGGAAAAAAAAAACAAGAGAAAAAAGCUUUUAAGUUGGCCCAUCCUCAGAAGAUCUCACAUGAAAGAAGCAGCAAAGGAAUCUCAUCCAACACUUCACCAACCCAACCCUGGGAAGGGUUAAGAUGCAGAUUAGUUCCGCUUCACACCCGGUCCUAACUAGACUAACG